CCUACGGGAGGCAGCAGUGAGGAAUAUUGGUCAAUGGGCGCGAGCCUGAACCAGCCAAGUAGCGUGAAGGAUGACUGCCCUACGGGUUGUAAACUUCUUUUAUAAAGGAAUAAAGUGAGGCACGUGUGCCUUUAUGUAUGUACUUUAUGAAUGAGGAUCGGCUAACUCCGUGCCAGCAGCCGCGGUAAUACGGAGGAUCCGAGCGUUAUCCGGAUUGCUUGGGUUUAAAGGGAGCGUAGAUGGGUUGUUAAGUCAGUUGUGAAAGUUUGCGGCUCAACCGUAAAAUUGCAACUGAUACUGGCAGUCUUGAGUACAGUUGAGGUAGGCGGAAUUCGUGGUGUAGCGGUGAAAUGCUUAGAUAUCACGAAGAACUCCGAUUGCGAAGGCAGCUUACUAAACUGCCACUGACAUUGAUGCUCGAAAGUGUGGGUAUCAAACAGGAUUAGAUACCCGAGUAGUC
rnacentral:rRNA from 1 species